rnacentral:rRNA from 1 species
AGGACGAACGCUGGCGGCGUGCUUAACACAUGCAAGUCGAGCGGAAAGGCCCUUCGGGGUACUCGAGCGGCGAACGGGUGAGUAACACGUGAGUAAUCUGCCCCUAGCUCUGGGAUAGCUCCGGGAAACCGGGAUUAAUACCGGAUACGACUGCUACGGGCAUCUGUGGUGGUGGAAAGAACUUCGGCUAGGGAUGAGCUCGCGGCCUAUCAGCUUGUUGGUGGGGUAACGGCCUACCAAGGCGACGACGGGUA